rnacentral:rRNA from 1 species
UACGAAGGGGGCUAGCGUUGCUCGGAAUUACUGGGCGUAAAGGGCGCGUAGGCGGACAGUUAAGUCAGAGGUGAAAGCCCAGGGCUCAACCCUGGAAUGGCCUUUGAUACUGGCUGUCUUGAGUGCGGGAGAGGUGUGUGGAACUCCGAGUGUAGAGGUGAAAUUCGUAGAUAUUCGGAAGAACACCAGUGGCGAAGGCGACACACUGGCCCGUAACUGACGCUGAGGCGCGAAAGCGUGGGGAGCAAACAGG